UACGUAGGGUGCAAGCGUUGUCCGGAAUUAUUGGGCGUAAAGAGCUCGUAGGCGGUUUGUCGCGUCUGCUGUGAAAACUCGGGGCUUAACCCCGGCCUGCAGUGGGUACGGGCAGACUAGAGUGCGGUAGGGGAGACUGGAAUUCCUGGUGUAGCGGUGAAAUGCGCAGAUAUCGGGAGGAACACCAAUGGCGAAGGCAGCUCGCUGGGACGUGACUGACGCUGAGACGCGAAAGCGUGGGGAGCAAACAGG
rnacentral:rRNA from 1 species